rnacentral:tRNA from 1 species
GAGAGUAUAGCUCAGUGGUAGAGCACAUGCUUAGCAUGCAUGAGGUCCUGGGUUCAAUCCCCAGUACCUCCA